GACGAACGCUGGCGGCGUGCUUAACACAUGCAAGUCGAACGAUGAAGCCGGAGCUUGCUCUGGUGAAUUAGUGGCGAACGGGUGAGUAACACGUGAGUAACCUGCCCUUGACUCUGGGAUAACUGCGGGAAACUGUAGCUAAUACCGGAUACGACCCUCGGAGGCAUCUCCUGGGGGUGGAAAGAAUUUCGGUCAAGGAUGGACUCGCGGCCUAUCAGCUAGUUGGUGAGGUAAAGGCUCACCAAGGCGACGACGGGUAGCCGGCCUGAGAGGGGAACCGGCCACACUGGGAUUGAGACACGGCCCAGACUCCUACGGGAGGCAGCAGUGGGGAAUAUUGCACAAUGGGCGCAAGCCUGAUGCAGCAACGCCGCGUGAGGGAUGACGGCCUUCGGGUUGUAAACCUCUUUUAGCAGGGAAGAAGCGAAAGUGACGGUACCUGCAGAAAAAGCACCGGCUAACUACGUGCCAGCCGCCGCCGUAA
rnacentral:rRNA from 1 species